rnacentral:lncRNA from 1 species
GCAGAAGUAGACUGAGUCUAGUCACUUACCUUGUCUUGGCCUCGACCGGAGAGGAUCCAGGCUCUGUCACUGGUGAGUGGUAAUAGUAAGCUAGAUUGGCUGUAUUGUUACUGUGUCAGUAUUUCUGACACGAUUAAACAGCGAAGAAAUUUAUAAAAGCAGUUAAAAUUUAUAUAAAAAAGGGAAAAAUACAGGCAAAAACAAUUCAUGUCAAAGCACUAAACAUUAAAAAAUUUAUUAAAAAAUCAUUAGUCCUUGGAAAGUGGAAGAUUUCCACAGAAGAGGACGUCUUGAGAUUGGAAUGAUCCUUACCUCACUUGCUCUCUAACCCAAUACAUACACAUUUUACAGCAAAAAAUAUUUCAUCUCCAUCUUCAUCUUCAUCUUCAUCUUCAUCAACCAUCACCAAUAUCGUCAUCAGCUAAAAAAUCCCAGGUGAGUUUGG